rnacentral:rRNA from 1 species
AUUGAACGCUGGCGGCAUGCUUUACACAUGCAAGUCGAACGGCAGCGGGGGCUUCGGCCCGCCGGCGAGUGGCGAACGGGUGAGUAAUGCAUCGGAACGUGCCCAGUCGUGGGGGAUAACACAUCGAAAGAUGUGCUAAUACCGCAUACGUCCUGAGGGAGAAAGCGGGGGAUCUUCGGACCUCGCGCGAUUGGAGCGGCCGAUGUCGGAUUAGCUAGUUGGUGGGGUAAAGGCCCACCAAGGCGACGAUCAGUAGCCGGCCUGAGAGGGUGGACGGCCACACUGGGACUGAGACACGGACCAGACUCCUACGGGAGGCAGCAGUGAGGAAUAUUGGUCAAUGGACGCAAGUCUGAACCAGCCACGUCGCGUGAAGGAAGACGGCCCUACGGGUUGUAAACUUCUUUUAUACGGGGAAUAAAGUGCCCCACGCGUGGGGUUUUGCAUGUACCGUAUGAAUAAGGAUCGGCUAACUCCGUG